CGGAAUCAGGUGGCAGGGGGGGCGUGAAUACGGAGGUGGCGAGGGUUGUCGGGAAUUAGUGGGCGGAAAGGGGUCGGUGGUGGGUUGUCGGGGCUGUCGGGAAAGUCCGGGGCUUAACGCCGGAUCGGCGGUGGGUACGGGCAGACUAGAGUGCAGUAGGGGAGACUGGAAUUCCUGGUGUAGCGGUGGAAUGCGCAGAUAUCAGGAGGAACACCGAUGGCGAAGGCAGGUCUCUGGGCUGUAACUGACGCUGAGGAGCGAAAGCAUGGGGAGCGAACAGGAUUAGAUACCCCAGUAGUC
rnacentral:rRNA from 1 species